rnacentral:rRNA from 1 species
GACAGAGGGUGCAAACGUUGUUCGGAAUUACUGGGCGUAAAGCGUGCGCAGGCGGUUUUGUAAGCCGGAUGUGAAAUCCCCGGGCUUAACCUGGGAACCGCAUUUGUGACUGCAUAGCUGGAGUACGGCAGAGGGGGAUGGAAUUCCGCGUGUAGCAGUGAAAUGCGUAGAUAUGCGGAGGAACACCGAUGGCGAAGGCAGUCCCCUGGGCCUGUACUGACGCUCAUGCACGAAAGCGUGGGGAGCAAACAGG